UGAGAAAUUACAUUCAGAUACAACACUCC
rnacentral:piRNA from 1 species